rnacentral:lncRNA from 1 species
AACUUAGCAAGGUUUCAAGAUGGUAACAGCCGGUAAUAACCCAGCCUCUGCCCCCCUGGACCUUACUGCCCGUCCUCAGGCAUCGGUCAGGCUCUCGAACCCUACAUUCCCUGAUCAGUUUCUUUGGACUCUACAACUCAGUGAAUAUAGAAGGGUGCCCACAGGAUUCCCCAAAUAAAGUGGAGCGGGUUCACAUGUGCUCUUCUCUUGCCAGGUUCAACAGUGGGUAAAACCCCACCUGCAGGGUCUGUGAAUGUCACAGAAGGGUCCCUAAAGAUCUUUCGCAGAGUCUUCUUCCUCCUGGUUCUGCUUUUCAAACCUGCAUGCUGACCCCACGACUUGUUUAUACCAACAACUCAUCUCUGUUUUGGAAGAGACCUUACUUAUCUCUUCCCCACCUAUUUGUCACACUGAGAUGGAGGCCCAGAACCUACUCCCUACUAGAGCAGGAGACUGAGAGCUCUGUCCCUUCCUCCUUGCACUGGGGGCUUGGAGCCUGGAAAGAAGGAGAAGCCUUGAUGUCCUCAGAGCUCGGGAUCCAGGUAGAAAACCACAGCUCCUCCUCAGGCCCAGACCCUAUCUACCCCAGCCCUCUUGCUUUUAGUAGCGUAUCCCGAGGUUGUUGGUGUUUCUCAGUUGUCCUUGGUAUUCCCAUUCUCCUCAGGGCUCCUCUUGACCCCUGGUACUCUUCAGUGGUCCUCUUCUGACUGGUCAAACCCUCUCAGACACAGCACUUCAGGCCACUCGGAGAAGAAACCAGCUUUCUGAGAACUGCACAGAUACUAAACAGACGGGAGCCAGUUGAACCUAGAAAGAAGAGUGGCCUCUGACCCAGUGAAAACAAGGUAAGAUGUCCUGACUAAAAGCCACUGGCUAUGACUCCCUCCUGUAGGAGCAAGGGAGAAGGAAGACAUCAGCUAGCCAUCCAUCCUCCAUACCAGAGCUGCCCUGGUUCUUGGGUGCUGGGCUGCCAAGAGGUUCACUGUCUUUGUUCACUGAG